AUUGAACGCUGGCGGCAUGCUUUACACAUGCAAGUCGAACGGCAGCGCGGGCUUCGGCCUGGCGGCGAGUGGCGAACGGGUGAGUAAUGCAUCGUAACGUGCCCAGUAGUGGGGGAUAGCCCGGCGAAAGCCGGAUUAAUACCGCAUACGACCUGAGGGUGAACGCGGGGGACCGAAAGGCCUCGCGCUAUUGGAGCGGCCGAUGUCGGAUUAGCUAGUUGGUGGGGUAAAGGCUUACCAAGGCAACGAUCCGUAGCUGGUCUGAGAGGACGACCAGACACACUGGGACUGAGACACGGCCCAGACUCCUACGGGAGGCAGCAGUGGGGAAUUUUGGACAAUGGGGGCAACCCUGAUCCAGCCAUGCCGCGUGCGGGAAGAAGGCAUGCGGGUUGUAAACCGCUUUUGUUCGGGAAGAAAUCCUCUGGGCUAAUACCCCGGGGGGAUGACGGUACCGGAAGAAUAAGCACCGGCUAACUACGUG
rnacentral:rRNA from 1 species